GGGGCUGAUUUAGCUUUCGACGAGAGGACUUUAACAAGUUAUUUCGCGAGUCGAUUAUGCACGUCAAGCAUUUAAUAAUUGCAACAAAACUUGCAUCUGCAUGGGUUAACUUGAAGCAGACACUUGCUAGCGCAUUUGUCACACCUCAGUUUGCCAUGCAAACAGCCUAACUUAUUUUAGGCCGCCACAUCAGAUAGGUGACGCAUCUGAUCCGUGGUGUCAUAUUUUCGUCACUUACUUACCUUAGGCGCAGUGGCCAAGGGACAAGGAAAAUUUCCACGCGAUGAGAAAACUUUUUUUGUUUGCCUUUGAAGUUUUUGAAUCGUAAAUAUCAAGGUAAACUAUGCUCGUAGAAGAAUAACUGGUUACCUUUCGGACCGGGGGGCGGUUCCCCGCAGCUCCACCA
rnacentral:tmRNA from 1 species